CUAAUAUAUAAGGGACUGAAAGUCUCCAACCCUCCAAAUUUGUUCCAUUGGCCUUUCCCAUGCUUUGAAUUCUCAUUGCAGUGCUCGGAUUGGUUGAUUCACAAGUCUCACUUCUCUCAGGGUAUUCACAAAUUUUAGGAUGAAAUUGUUUAUCUGAACUGACUGUGUCACUUAUACUUUAAAGGUUACUACAUAACUCCUGCUAUCCUGCCACAACUCCCGCAGUCCAGCCAACCAUAACUCCCACAGUCCAACUCACCAUAACUCCUACAGUCUCCACGACUCCCGCAGUCUAGCCCUCCAUAACUCCCACAAUCCAGCCCACCAUAACUCCCGCUAUCCAGCCCACCAUAACUACCUCUGUCAAGCCUGUCACAAUGUGGUGGAACCAGCCUCGCCACUGGUCACUGGAGAAGACUGAUUGCCAGCCUCGUGCCCUGUGACUAUGGCCCCUGGGAUGUAUUGCCUGCUCUCCUGUACUGCUGAGGAUUGCUACUAACUAGGUGGAUUUGGCUAUGGAGCUUGUGUAGUGCCCUCUGUUGGUAGCAACAGUAAUA